CCUGAUCCAUCCAUGCCGCGUGAGUGAAGAAGGCCUUCGGGUUGUAAAGCUCUUUCGGCCGGGAAGAAAUCGCCUGGGUUAAUACCCUGUGCGGAUGACGGUACCGGCAUAAGAAGCACCGGCUAACUACCUGCCAGCAGCCGCGGUAAUA
rnacentral:rRNA from 1 species